rnacentral:SRP_RNA from 1 species
GCCGGGUGUGAUGGCGGGUGCCUGUAGUCCCAGCCAUUUGGGAGGCUGAGGCUGGAAGAUCUCUUGAGUCCAGGAGUUCUGGGCUGUAGUGUGCUAUGCCAUUCAGGUGCCUGCACUAAGUUCGGCAUCAAUAUGGUGACCUCCCGGGAGCGGGGGACCACCAGGUUGCCUAAGCAGGGGUGAACCGGCCCAGCUUGGAAACAGAGCAGGUCAAAACUCCCGUGCUGAUCAGUAGUGGGAUCAUGCCUGUGAAUAGCCACUGCAUUCCAGCCUGGGCGACAUAGUGAGACCCCGUCUCU